AGGCACUCCUGGAAGGAACCCAAGAUGAUCUCCAGAAGGUGAGUGGGCUCCUGGGAUUGGCGGGCAUCCCUUUGGGGAACCUGGGGACAGUUUGGUCCCCCAAUUCCUUGCUGGCACCAGGGACAUCCCAGUGACCAACAAGGUCUCCUGGUCUCUCUGCAGUUGGAUUUAGACAAUGUUGACAUCCUGGAGACACCUCUGCCCCCUGUGGGUGAAAAGCUAGAGGGUCUUCUGCGGCAGAAGCGCCUGGCUGCCUCUCUCCAUGGAUAGGUGAGCAGCAUUUGGUGGUCCCCAGACCCCCACAUGAUUCUGUGAAAUUCAUGGGUAACCGUGAUAUUUUCUGGGUGGGCAGAGUUUGGGGCCAGUAGAGGGAUGCAAAACUUGACUUUCACUGAUCUGUUUCCUGAGGGUGCUGGACAGAUCUUCCCCCAAGUCUUUUCUUCCACUUGGGGAGCUCUGGGGAACCCCACAGUCC
rnacentral:lncRNA from 1 species